rnacentral:rRNA from 1 species
UACGUAGCGGGCAAGCGUUGUCCGGAUUCAUUGGGCGUAAAGAGCGUGUAGGCGGCCAGGUAGGUCGGUUGUGAAAACUGGAGGCUCAACCUUCAGAGGUCGACCGAAACCAUCUGGCUAGAGUCCGGGAGAGGAGAGUGGAAUUCCUGGUGUAGCGGUGAAAUGCGCAGAUAUCAGGAAGAACACCCGUGGCGAAAGCGGCUCUCUGGAACGGUACUGACGCUGAGACGCGAAAGCGUGGGGAGCGAACAGG